GGGGAAUAUUGCACAAUGGGCGCAAGCCUGAUGCAGCGACGCCGCGUGAGGGAUGACGGCCUUCGGGUUGUAAACCUCUUUCAGCAGGGGAGAAGCGAAAGUGACGGUACCUGCAGAAGAAGCGCCGGCUAACUACGUGCCAGCAGCCGCGGUAAUACGUAGGGCGCGAGCGUUGUCCGGAAUUAUUGGGCGUAAAGAGCUCGUAGGCGGUUGGUCGCGUCUGCUGUGGAAUCCCGAGGCUCAACCUC
rnacentral:rRNA from 1 species